CGGCACGUAGCGCAGCCUGGUAGCGCACCGUCAUGGGGUGUCGGGGGUCGGAGGUUCAAAUCCUGUCGUGCCGACCA
rnacentral:tRNA from 1 species